AUGUGUCGAAGCGGAACCGCUGUCUGUGUUUACAUAGCUGUCUGUGCUUAUUACGCCAGCUUCUACUACGAGCCGAGAGGAAACAGAAUGUCCUCCACUCUUCCCCGUCACGUCAUCUGGGAGUCAGAGGGGCUGGUGGCCUACCUUCACCCCCGGCCCUGGACCCCAGGCUCUGUCAUCCUGGAGCGCAGCACCCCUGGCAGCCUGGGAGGCAGCGUCUUCCAUCUGGAGAAGCGUGAGUUCUUAACCUGGCUGUUGGGGGCGAGAGCCGUUGCAGAGCUGCUGUGCGACAGGCUGGCAGUUCGGAGGUGUGCGCUGGUCAGCAGACCCCACCGAGACCGACCUGCGCAGAUCCGUGUCCUUCCUCUACACGGUCUGGAUGCAGAGUGGCGCCCUCACCUGGCAGGAGAAGAGGAGCACAACGCCCACGACCCGGGGCACUGCACCUCCAAGACCGCUCCCAGAUGGAGUGAAUCCAGCCUGACUGAAAUCCAGGCCAAGAUUCGAGCCAAGCUCCCGUUGCCCGACGCCCCACCCAAUCUGACUUUCCUUGGGGACGAUCCGGCUCACCCUGGCCUGUUUUCGCGCAUCGUUCGCGGGGAGGAGCAGCAGUGGAGGGUGUGGGAGGACGAGGAUCACGUGGCCUUUCUCACUCCUUUCCCCAACUCCCCUGGAUUUACUGUGCUGGUCCCACGGCGACCUUUGACCUCUGAUAUAUUCAGACUAGAAAAAGGGGACUAUGAGGGACUGGUGCUGGCAACCUGGGAGGUGUCGAGGCUUCUUAAGGAGGGGUUGGGUGCCUGGGGGAUGGGGCUUAUUUUUGAGGGUUUUGAGAUUGAUUACGCUCACGCCAAGUUGAUACCACUGUUCCUACCUUCAUCAUCAGGGACAGGAGACACAACGAAACCACCACCUCCCCAGUUUUACCCCACGUAUCCUGGGUAUGUGACCUCAGAGGACGGACCCGAGGCCAGCCUGGAAAGUCUGAAGGAGCUACACAUCAAAAUUACUCAGACUUAGUGCUGUUAUCUAUAGUUUGAGUCCUUAAACUCGUAAGAGUUACUUUUAGCUGUGAAAGGAAUUCCUCUCUGCCUUAUUCAUUAACAAAGAGUGUGUAAAAAAACAGAAUAACAGAAGCACCUUAAUUUCCUGCUGCAAAUUAAUUCCACAAAGACUAAUAACCUGUUUCACUUUGUCAUUGCCAUCAUUUUUACUGUCAGCCUCAUUAAUGUACCCUAGUCUUAUCUUUGACUAAUCACGACGGGACAGAGCUGCUGCACCAGCAAGUAUGUAAGCUGGCUUCAAAGUAUUAAAGGCAUUAGAUUAGAUUAAAUUAACAAUAAAUUAAUUGAUUGAAUUGAAUUAUAUAGAUAUCCAAAAUAGACAAAUUUCAGAUUUGAUUAAAAAAAGCUACUUUAAAAAGAUUAAAUGAUGGCAAGGCUGCAUAACUUCCAAACUAGACCAGUUCUAAAGUUGGUUAACAUUAAUGUGCCGCUGUCAAUAAUGUAGGAAUAACAAGUUGAGAAGUUGCAAGUGUAAUGAACUGACUGAAACAAAAUGUAAAACAUUUCAAGUGUGUACAGCUGAUGUUUUGUUGUGUUUGUACAUUUGAAGGAAGUUGUUUUUUUUUAUUAAUUCAUAAAAGUAUCUGUGUCAAAUUAUGUUUUUAGAAUCAAAAAGUUAAAUAAUUCUGCACUUCAUGUUCUUUAACCCAUGUACUGUAAAAUGCCAAACACUUAAGGAGAUGUUCAAUUUAUUAACUUUUGAUGAAAAUAAAGACCUGUUCAUGUCACUGGUCAUCAUAAAUGGAAAUUAUUAUUUUUUUGCACCAAGAAGUCAUUGUUAUGUAAAAUUGAAAAUGCUUCAUAUCCAAAGAAAAUGUCAACCACACGCAAGUUACAGUAUAAUUUUUAAUUGUUUAUUAAUUUUGAGAGUUUAAAUUAUAUUCAGCAGUUUUCAACUCUCAAAGAACUCUUAUUAGGGGAUUUGUUGCUUAAAUGAUGUAAUACAGUCAUUACACUGCCUGUUUGUGUUGCUUUAUUGAUUACACUGUGUUACAUAUUUAGUUUGUUAACCACUUACACAUGCUAAUUGGUCCCACAGUGCUCUGAUUAGGGGGCUUAAUUAAUGACUGGCUAAGUGCUCAGCCAGUGCUCUGUAAACUAGUUUCUGCCCCAGGCCAAACCAAAAGAGGUGUAUGUGUUAAUGAGAAGGGUUUCUAAUACCGGUUGUCACAGAAGAUGUAGAGAGCCAACUCACCUGUUACAGGAAUAAUCUACCUCAGUUCAAAUGAUUGAUUUUGGACUAGCCACCUUACGUUACUCUAUUUCUAUUGGUGUCAGUGGUUUCCUCUGUUUCCUAUAAUGCCCCGCUGGUUGCAGGUGUAAGUGCAGACAGCAAUAACGUAUCUUAAGGGGGAAAAAAACUUCUCUUGGAUUGCCUGGCGAACUGUGAAACAUAGAAAGGUUGUAGGUAAUACCUAAACUUUAUGCAUCUUCACACUUGAUCACACCUUGACAUCUUGCGGCUUCUUAGAGAAGCUCCGCCCACAGCACCUGCCGUCCACGCGCUCCAUCUUGGUGAUGUAGAGGAGAGGCUCAAGGCUGCAGCUCAGAUCCAUGAUGGAGAACACGCUGAUGCUGAUCUGGCAGCGGAACGCCACGAACGAGUAGUACGACACGAAGGGCAUGAGAGCCACUGGCGGCAGGUAGUUGGCCACAAUGAUGGCGAGGAUGAUCAGGACCAUCUUGAAGGCCUUCUUCUUCACCGGGUGCAUCUGCUCCUUUCCUGCCACGGAACGUCUAAGGACCCAGAUGACGGAAAUGUUGCAGAAGACCAUGACUGCAAAGGCAAAGAGGAUGACACCGCUGAAGACCUCAUUGACGCUCAUGACUCCCAGGGUGCACUUGGUGAGGCCGUAAGCCAGGAUGAGGCCCCAGACCACCACUGAAAUUCCAAUGCGGAUCUUAUUGUCUCGGAUACCAGUGAACAGUACUGGGUGGACCACGGCCAUGUAGCGGUCUAGACAGAUACACACCUGUAACAGCAGAUUAUUGAAAGAAUAGAAAUAUUACCAGACUAGAAUGUUAACUGAUCAAAAACGGAAGAAUAUUUGCAGAACAUCCAUCCAGAUAAACCUCCAGUGAAUUCUCCAGACAACGCAAUAGAUAGAACAUUUUAAUAAACUACGCUUGAAGUUGUACUUUUGAGUACCUCUUCCACUAAAUAACAGACAGAAGUGCUAAUAACACCUACAACUUCAAAGGGAGCUAAAUUAAUCUGAGCACAAAAAAAUUGUUAAAUGAUGUAUAUUAAAAUGUAUAAAUCAAAAUACUUGUAUGAGAUUCAUGUGUCUAAUAUACAACCCCAUUAAAUCAAAUUUAAAGCAGAGAUUUACAAAUGAGGUAAUGAGAUGAUGGUACAAUUUGUUGCAACCACAGUAUAUUAUUAAUUACUGUGUAUGAACUUAAACAUAUGUAUUGUGUAUAUGAGUUUACAGGUUUAUGAGCAGUGUAACAUCAGAUACAGCAGAAAACAUGCAUUCUCUUCUGCUUCUACCCAAGUGUAGCUGGAUUUCUGACCUUUAUGCAUCAAUUGCAAAAUUAUCUUAAAGCAUUUAGAUCCUAGCCACAUGUAUCAAGCUUCACAGCACCCUGUAUUAUCACAGGCAACAGGUUAAGAGAGGCCUGUUUUUAGUCAUUUCCACAAAGUGGCAGCUUCAUAGAGGUCCUGAAUACACUGUAGCAGUUCUUAAACUUUGGCCAUCUUUUUAGGAUGCAGAGAUGUAUCACUGCUCUGGUGUACGGUAUUCCUAUAUACAAAAAACUCACCAGAAAGAGUGGCGCUACAUCCUUAAUCCCGUAGGCGAACCUCUGCGAGUACCAAAUGCGACUGUCAUCUAGCAGCAGGCGGUUAACCAUCUCUAUGGGCGUCAUUAGGCAGAAGUAGGCAUCUAAGAUGGCCAGGUUGAAGAUGAAAAUGUCAGAGGUGGACGCAUCACUUUUCCUGGUUGCAAUCUGCCAGAUGACCAGGGCGUUACAGGGUGUUCCCACUGCCAGGUUAAACACCUUGACCCCAAAGUAGAAAAUGAAGCCGUACGGGGCCACGGCACAUACUGGGAAUUGGUACCAUGGUGGAGGUUCACGGGGGCCACCAGGGAUGGUAGAGUUUACGUAGAGGUUGGUGGCGGGAUUCAGAGUGGUGUUGAGCAUUGUGGGGAUGAAGUGCUGAUGCUGGAAGGAAGAUGGGAUGCUAUGAGAAAGAAAGCGGAGUAAAGGGUUAGUUUUGCGUAUCGAAAUUUCAGUUUUGUACAUUUGUAUCCCUAAAGAGUGCUAGUCACGGGUUACAGUCUUAACUUUACAUCAAAAUGAAACAACCUAUUAUUUAUUCUAGAGUCCUGCAUAAAUGCUCCAUACAGAACACAGAGGCCUAUAUAGUAGUAUUAGACAUCACAUCAACCCAUCUUACCUUAACAGAGUUCCCAGUGUCCUGCAGUCCUAGUCUUUUUGCGUUUAGCCCCAGAUCACUGGCGCCAGGGGUUUAUAAACACACCCCAUAGAGAUUAAUGCCAUUGUUGGAUUGGGCCAGUCUCAGGGACAAUGGCUGUCUCACCCUAGUGUGGUGUCAAACCUAAGCUGUGAUUGGACAGUAAUGCAAUGGCUGUGGCUGAGACAUCUUCAUUGAUUGGACAGUUUGGGUACCUAGAAAGGGGCGUGUUUGGGUUAACUUCGAUAUACUGGCAUUCUGUCCAUAUAGAAGUAGAGUCAUAACAUACAGCAGGGGCAAAUUUGAAUGUUCUUGUUAUAUUCUCUUUCUCUGUCUGUCUGUAUUUCAUGUGUGAAGGGGACCCCUAACAACCUGCCUGAUAAAUGUAGUGUUGUUAUCUGUACUGUACCACCGUUUAAAUUGCCCCUUUGUGUGGCAUGAAGUGUUUGAGUUAAUAAACAUUAAGCAUAUUCCCAGUUGUUGCAUUAUAAAGACAUGAGUCUUAUGGUUUCAUUAAGUUGCUGGCCUGUGCAUGGUUUUUCAUUUUUCUGAUUUAUGGUUUAUGUUAUAAAAGCGUAAUCUUAUCCCAGGUUGGUUCCUGUGGGUAAUUUUGUAUCUACAGCAGCACUGCAGCAGAACAUUUGUUCUCACUGAUGCAACUGUACACUGUUCAGUAAACAGGUGAUGCAAGGUAAGCAUAAAUGAGAAAUAUAAUGCAAGGUGUUACUAAUGUGCCCAGACUAUGUUAACUGUGUUGAGAAAAACCCUGUUGGGAAUUCAGCCUUGCAAAGUCAUGACAAACAGCAGCUGCUUACAUAAAUAAUACUGUGUGUUUUACACAUGUUUCAUUAUGCAACCACCACUGGGCCUACUGCUCAGCCAGUAAAAUAGUUGUGGUCUGAGAAAACAAUCCCUGAUGAUGGCAUCAGGGUUAUUUCUGAUGAGGCAUGAGAUGUUGACAAGUAGGCAUUCUAGUGAAGAAUGCUAUGAACUUGCAGUAUGGGAAAUAUAGGAUCCAGAAUGGUUGGAGCUCAACUAAUACUACUAAUAGGGAUAGUAUUAGAUUUUUUUUUUUUUUUUAAAUUUUGUCUCACAUUCAGCUUUAUCUAAGUGCAAUACAAAAUCACUGAGAACCCCUUUAAUUCAGAUGUAAAACUAUUUUUGUAAUAUACGACAAACACCAUAAG
ensembl:lncRNA